rnacentral:rRNA from 1 species
AUUGAACGCUAGCGGGAUGCUUUACACAUGCAAGUCGAACGGCAGCGCGGACUUCGGUCUGGCGGCGAGUGGCGAACGGGUGAGUAAUGUAUCGGAACGUGCCCAGUAGCGGGGGAUAACUACGCGAAAGCGUAGCUAAUACCGCAUACGCCCUACGGGGGAAAGCAGAGGAUCGUAAGACCUUGCACUAUUGGAUCGGCCGAUAUCGGAUUAGCUAGUUGGUGAGGUAACGGCUCACCAAGGCGACGAUCCGUAGCUGGUUUGAGAGGACGACCAGCCACACUGGGACUGAGACACGGCCCAGACUCCUACGGGAGGCAGCAGUGGGGAAUUUUGGACAAUGGGGGCAACCCUGAUCCAGCCAUCCCGCGUGUGCGAUGAAGGCCUUCGGGUUGUAAAGCACUUUUGGCAGGAAAGAAACGUCGCGGGCUAAUACCCCGUGGAACUGACGGUACCUGCAGAAUAAGCACCGGCUAACUACGUG